rnacentral:lncRNA from 1 species
GGCAUAUGCCACUCAGCCCGCUGUGGGCCUUUGAAUUCUAACAGUAACGGAGUCUACGAGCUCCCUGUGUCUCUGACAUUAAAAGUCACUGGUUCUUUCUUAGUUUUUGGUUGUGACCCUAGCUUUAAUGGCUGAUCUACCUCUUGCACAUAAAAGUCGCCGAUUCUCAAGUGCAAUUGGUGAAGUGACAUUUCUCAAGUGUGGACGUUGUAAGAUCCCCUCUCUGGUCUCACCUUUCUGGGACCACCCCUCUUUCCUCUCUGCCCUAGGGUAAAGAAAAAAGAGCAGGCAGUCUGACCUCACACUUCACGCGCCACAUCCUGUUUUCAGAUGAAGUGGGCAUCACCGGAGGAUCACUAAG